CAGAAUAUCAGAUGCAACCUAUAAAUGUAAUUAUUAGGCAUCAAUAAUAUUAAUUAAUAUUUAAAAGUCAAAGACAGAGAGAAAAUUUUGAAAGCAGUAAGAGAAAGCACACUUUAUAUGAAAUGACCCAUCACAUAAAAAAGACCUCUAGUUGCAAUGAGCUGAGAUCACGCCACUGCACUCCAGCCUGAGCAACAGAGCAAGACUCCAUCUCAAAAAAAAAAAAUUUUAAAAAGGGUUCUUUAAUAAGACUAUCAGUGGAUAUCUCAGCAGAAACUUUGCAGGCCAGAAGUGAGAAAGAUGAUAUAUUCAGAGGGCUAAAAGGGGGAAAAAAUGGCAACCGAGAAUUCUAUACCCAGCAAACUGUCUUUUCAAAAUGAAGGAGAAAAUAAAGAUGUUCCUAGAUAAUGCUGGGCAUGGUGGCUCACGCUUGUAAUCCCAGCGCUUUGGGAGGCUGAGGCUGGUGGAUCACUUGAGCUCAAGAGUUCGAGUCCAGCCUCAGCAACAUGGUGCAAACUCAUCCCUUCAAAAAAUACAAAAAUAAACCAGGCAUUGUGGUGUACACCUGUAGUCUCAGCUACUCAGGAGGCUAAAGUGGACAGCUUGAGCCAAGUAGGUUGAGGCUGCAGUGAGCCGAGAUCAUGUCACUGCACUCUGACCUGGGUGACAGAGGAAACCUUGUCUCAAAAUAAAAUUAAAAUUAAAUAAAAUAAGAUGUUCGCAGAUAAAUAAAACCUGAGGGAAUUCAUCACCAUCACAUCUGCCUCAAAAGAAAUGCUAAGGAUAGAUUCUCAUGUUGAAAUAAAAGAAUGCUAAAUGACAACAUAAAGGUGUGUAACAGUUGAAACAAAAGGAUGCUAAAUGAUAUCAAAAAAGUAUAUGAAAGUAUAAACUCACUUGAUAAACGUAAAUGUAAAGACAAAUAUCUGACACUGUAUUACUGUACUAUUAAAAUUAUUCUUUUUUUGAGACAGGGUCUCACUCCAUCACCCAGGCUGCAGUGCAGUGGUGUGACCACAGUUCCUUGCCACCUUGACCUCCUGGGCUUCGGUGAUCCUCCAACUUCAGCCUCCCAAGUAGCUGAGACUACAGAUUGAUCCAGUUGACAGGAUCUGACCCUUCCAGUGACCACCCCAGGAACAGAAAGCAAUCAUGCAAGUGCCCUCCAGGGCCCAUUGAACCCAGGGAUCUCUUUUCUGGGCCUGAACUGCUGGGUGAGCCUCUCUCUGGGAUUCUGAGUUCCACUUAUUUUGUGUUCUGAGCUCUCCAAGUUUAUCUGAACAACCUUUCUUCCUUUUUCUCUCUCUCCUUUUUUUUUUUUCCUCCUGUCCUACUGAAUUGGAUUCCGUUAAGAGGCCAGGUAUCUGAUUAAGUUAGAGUCUGAACAGGGUUCAAAAUCAAAUUGGAUUCAACAGUUAACUAGACUGGAUCCAGUUAAGGGCCUUAGGGUAGGUAAUUUUGAUCUUUUUGGCUUUUGAAUCCACGGUUUUGUGCUUGAGAGAGCAUUUGAGAAUCAUGACAGAAACAGGACCCAGUCCUACAGGGAGGCCUUGGUCUGCCUGGGUCAG
rnacentral:lncRNA from 1 species